GUCCAAUGCGGAUACCUCUUCUUGGACUCCUCUAGAAUUUGUGGCAGAUCUAUUUUGGAAAUGGUCACAAGGACAAGACCGCCCUGCUAAUGGCAGUCUUCUGCAACUGAUCACUCACGAUAACAAAACAGAAUUGAUUUCAGUGUAAAAGGGAAAACUAAGAUACAUACGGGAACAAGAAUUUAUUCCAUGACAAUAUAUAUACCUAAUACAAACGGUUUGUAUUUGGUAUUCAAGCCCAUUAUGUUUGUAACUUUUGUGAUUUACGAUAUAAGCAUUUAAAAAUGUUAUUACUGUAAAUAUACAAAAAUAGUUUCAUCUUCAUUCCAAUAGAAGUGCAACAAUGAAAGUACCUAAUCUAAAGAUAUUAUUUAAAAAAAAACGUUGUGAUACGUUAUACGAUUUUCUAUGUUUAUUUUUAUAUGAAUGUAGUAUAUUUUUUAUAGUGACUAUUACUAAUUGAUUAAAGAUAUAGAAUUUUCUGGCAACUAUUAUGUUAUGCAUAUGAAAUGACGAGAUGUUAAAGAUUAUACAAUAACAUACAAAGAUACAUAUAACAAAUUAUACAAUACUAUAAAGAAUACAUUGGAAAGCUAUAAUUCGA